UCAACACUGGGACUGCCAUUGAUACUGGUUUACUUGAAUUUGUUAGAGGAUGGCGGAAUGUGUAGUGUAGCGGUGAAAUGCUUAGAUAUUACACAGAACACCAAUUGCGAAGGCAGCUGUCCAUGACGAUAUUGACGCUGAAGCACGAAAGCGUGGGGAUCGAACAGGAUUAGAUACCCUGGUAGUCCACGCCGUAAACGAUGAAUGCUAGUUGUUCGGGUCAAUUGAGACCUGAGUAACCAAGGGAAACCGAUAAGCAUUCCACCUGGGGAGUACGGUCGCAAGACUGAAACUCAAAGGAAUUGACGGGGGCCCGCACAAGCGGAGGAACAUGUGGUUUAAUUCGAUGAUACGCGAGGAACCUUACCCGGGCUUGAAAGUUAGUGACCGUUUUAGAGAUAGAAUUUCGCAGCAAUGCGCACGAAACUAGGUGCUGCAUGGUUGUCGUCAGCUCGUGCCGUGAGGUGUCGGCUUAAGUGCCACAACGAGCGCAACCCUUACCGUCGGUUGCCAGCGGGUAAUGCCGGGGACUUCGAUGGGACUGCCACCGUAAGGUGUGAGGAAGGUGGGGAUGACGUCAAAUCAGCACGGCCCUUACGUCCGGGGCGACACACGUGUUACAAUGGUCGGUACAGAGGGCUGCUACUAGGCGACUAGAUGCUAAUCUCGAAAGCCGAUCUCAGUUCGGAUCGGAGUCUGCAACUCGACUCCGUGAAGUUGGAUUCGCUAGUAAUCGCAUAUCAGCCAUGAUGCGGUGAAUACGUUCCCGGGCCUUGUACACACCGCCCGU
rnacentral:rRNA from 1 species